rnacentral:rRNA from 2 species
GGAUGCGGUCAUACCAGCACUAAAGCACCGGAUCCCAUCAGAACUCCGUAGUUAAGCGUGCUUGGGCGAGAGUAGUACUAGGAUGGGUGACCUCCUGGGCAAGUCCUCGUGUUGCAUUCC